GAUGAACGCUGGCGGCGUGCCUAAUACAUGCAAGUCGAGCGAACAGACGAGGCUCUUUCUCCUCUUACGUUACCGGCGGACGGUUGAGUCACACGUGGAUAACCUACCUAUCAGACUUGGAUAACUUCGGGAAACCGUAGCUACUACCGGAUAAUAUCUUGAACCGCAUGGUUUUAUAGUGAAUGACGGUUUUUCUGUCACUUCUAGAUGUAUCCGCGUCGCAUUGGCUAGUUGGUAAGGUAACGGCUUACCAAGUCAACGAUGCGUAGCCGAACGGAGAGGGGGAUAGGCCACACUGGAACGGAGACACGGACCAGACUACUACGGGACGCAGCAGUAGGGAAUGGGCCGCAAUAGGCGAAAGCAUGACGGAGUAAGGGCACGUGAGAGAUGAAGGUGUUGGGUUAGUAAAGAUCGGUUUCUAGGUGAGAACAAAUGUGAAAAGAAAAAAAGACGUAUUGACGGUACCUAAACAAGAAGCCACGGCUAACUACGUG
rnacentral:rRNA from 1 species